rnacentral:rRNA from 1 species
UUGGAGGGCAAGCUGGUGCCAGCAGCCGCGGUAAUUCCAGCUCCAAUAGCGUAUAUUAAAGUUGUUGCAGUUAAAAAGCUCGUAGUUGAAUUUCGGGAUUAGUACGUCGGUCGUGCCUUAGGUACGUACUGGUGUUACUGGUUCCUACCUUCUGACGAACCAUCAUGUCAUUAAUUUGGUGUGGUGGGGAAUCAGGACUGUUACUUUGAAAAAAUUAGAGUGUUUAAAGCAGGCUCGCGCUUGAAUACAUUAGCAUGGAAUAAUGAAAUAGGACG